UCCGUGGAUUUUUUCAUACAGUCAUCAAGUAAAUACAACAGUGUGUGUUUUCUUCUCAUCUACGCGACUUAUGUGAAUGCUUCAGAAUCAGUAUCAAGACUAAGAUACUAUAUACCGAGACCAACAGAGCAGAAGAAGAAGAAGAAGGAGGAGGAGGUGAGAAGAAGAAGACGACGAAGAAGAAGGAGAAGGAAGGAGUCUCGAUAUAGAGAUGAGCUCGGUAGGCAUAUUGGCAGGCAGACACGAAGGCUGGAGGAAGCGCGACAGAGACGAUGGGACUGACCGACCAGGGUUUGUGUCAGAUGCGGUCGCGAUAUCAGGCUCGCGUCCACAGUUCCUCCGAGACCGUGUACCUGUCAUUUUCGGUGACCGUGUCAUUCAGCCUCUCCUUCUUUCUCGGAUCCCUUUCUUCUAACUAGCGACGCUGCCAGGCCGGGAAAGAUCCGAUAUAGAAUUCGUUUUAGCUGCAUCUGCACCAAGAGAUAAGAACAGGUAAGCGCAGCAGCAGCGAUCAAAAAGACCACAAGCAAUACCAAGAAAAAUGUUCCGAGCAACAGAGUCAGUGAGACGAGAAGAGACGCACGAGAAAAGAUACUCAUCGUCGUGAAGAUAGUGAUCCGGACUCGAAGCUGUCGGUUCGUAAUAAUCGACAAUCUCCGACGCAACACGCUCGAUUGCAACGGAACCAAGGAGCCCGGGCGUAGUGGUAGCUCAGUUGGGCCUAAUCUCCCAAAUUUAAGAUUCGCCCCGCGACUUAUUUUUCAUACUCGUGAACUUUUGGCCGCAAGUGGCGAUAUUUUUCAAUAGCCGCAUAUUUCGGGACCGUGGAGAAUUCUAAUUAUGUGUGGUCCCCAUCUGUGUGCUUAUAUGCUGCUUUCGAGCAUGGCCGACUGCGUCCGUAGCCCUUCGGGUCCCGGGCGCGUUGGCCCAGGUACAUGGGAAGUCCCAAGAGAGACUCGGCGAAACCUACCUACACGAUCCUACACUUUGUGAGACCUCUCGUCACGUCCCUGAGGAUUCGUAUUUCUAGUCACGCGUUUAAUCCGCCGGAACAUGCAACUGACUCGUCGUUCCUCGAAGUUGAUGACUGGCGUUCGGGAAAGUGCAAGUUUGCAAAAUGUUUAGGAAUUCGCGUCUGGCGUGCGCUGCGGACGUGUGUGACAGAUACACACGGAAUAUAUUUGUAACUCUCGCCAUAGAUAUAAGACGUUUAAAAAAUGUCCCCAUUUGCUCGGUUCCCAUGUUCGGUUUUCUCUCCUCUGUCUAUAAUCGAAGUGAUUAAUCGUUGCGGCCGAUUGCUGUAGACACCAGGCUUCCUUGUGGUGUUUAUUUAGAGUCCAUGGUCGUUCGAAUUAACUCAUCGUCAGAGGAUUAACAUGCAAUCCCGUGCAUAAUCCCAAGUAGCUACUGUGGAAAGAUACCGCUAAGCAAACCGGCUCGGACGAUGAGCAGCGGAUGUUUCAUGUUGGUAUACGCGUCGAGUGGGUGGAGGUGAACAGGUUGUCAAUGGGAAUUUCGAGUCUAGUCUACGGAGAUGUCUGGUCUUAUAGGCCUCGGAAUCAGGACUAUAUCCUUAGGGACAGAUACGUCAACGUGGACAACGCGAAUGGUGCCGCCGUCGCGUUUGCCGUUGUUAUUGCAUCCGGUUGGGAUCGCACUAUGGUUUUAUACAAAUAAUACUCGCCCACCCUUCGUAACCUUCUUAUUGAAUUUCGACUAUACUACAUCUUUUGAAAUGUUAGCUGAUACUGUAAAUGCAUUUUGUUUGUAUCCUUGUAAGGUUAUGUCUUAGCGUUCGCUAUAUUUUAUAUUAUAGGAAAUAAUUAUUACUAGGGCAGAGCCCAGAGAGCAAUGGAUGGACAAAAAACAUCCCAAAGGAUCUUUCAUUUAAGAAAUAUAUAAGUUUAACAGAAGAUACACGUUCGAUAUAAUCGCGUCAUAAGAGAGUGAGCGCCCGUUUACUUUUUACUUGCUACUGCCUACUAUUCAACUGAGUAAUCGUAACAAACUUAAACCUAGUUGUUCUGGUUGUGCAAAACAAAAUAUUGCGUUUAAGUAAAUGAGUCAAUAUCUAAAAACUACUGUAUAUUAUAUUUCCGUAAUACUAUGUAGCAU